GACGAACCGUGCAAACGUUGUUCGGAUUCACUGGGCUUAAAGGGCGCGUAGGCGGCUUGCCAAGUCAGGGGUGAAAUCCUCCGGCUCAACCGGAGAACAGCUUUUGAUACUGGCGAGCUUGAGGGAGGUAGGGGCAGGUGGAACUUCCGGUGGAGCGGUGAAAUGCGUAGAUAUCGGAAGGAACGCCGGUGGCGAAAGCGACCUGCUGGAUCUCUUCUGACGCUGAGGCGCGAAAGCCAGGGGAGCAAACGCG
rnacentral:rRNA from 1 species